UUCAAAAUGGCUGUGCCCUCGUCUUUCGUGUCCGGCAGCGUGGAGGACAACAUGACGACCAAACUUUCUCCAAAAGUGCGAUUAAAAUGAGGUUUUAAACGAUGGUUUAUGCCUCCAACGUCCAUAAAGAAAGAAGAGGUGAAAGAUUUAACUCACAGAGGGAGGAAAACAUUCAGAAACACCGUCUGUCUCAAACAACAGAUGAACCAAGAACCACACAGAGGUAAACUCAUCGACACAUCUCCAGACCGGCUGAGUUCACUGCUCAGCUGACUGUUGGUGGAAGGGACCACUGCAGCUGCUGUGUCGACCACUGGAGGGGAGCUCUGGCAUCGUCCACUUCUUGGCUGAAGGGACUUGGAGUGUGUUUGAUGGUCAGUGGGAACUUCGGAAGAGUCUUCAGGAGGACCAGCUCAUGGACGAGACGGACUGUCUGUGACCCAACUUCACACUUGGAAGCUGUGAUCUGAGUGACCUGAUGAAGCUCAGGUGUUCCUGGACCCAUCAGAGGACAGUGACAGCUGCAGCAUCAGGACAGUCUGUGUAUCCAAAGGAAGACUCAUCAGGAUGAACACUGACCGCAGAGCUCCAUUACCAGCUCACACUGCAGUAUACUAGAAACCAUUAAUCUUGAUGGAGGACACGAUCUGCACAGCUCACAUUAAAGUUAGAGCUUUGUUACUUGCACUAUACACACACUUUAUAUUUCUGUGUAACUGUAAAUUUGAAUGAAACAUGAAUAAAGUGUUUUAUUUUUAA